rnacentral:rRNA from 1 species
CGGGCUGAGGAACACGUGGGUAUCUGCCCUCCAGUGGGGGACAACACGUCGAAAGGCGUGCUAAUCCCGCAUACGUUCGCCUCGUAAGGGGUGAAGAAAGCAGCAAUGCGCUGGAAGAGGAGCCUGCGGCCCAUCAGGUAGUUGGUGUGGUAAUGGCGCACCAAGCCGGUGACGGGUACCUGGUCUGAGAGGACGACCAGGCAGACUGGGACUGAGAACGGCCCAG